CCUGUUUAACAAAAACAUGUCUUUUUGAGUUAUUUUAAAAGUCUGACCUGCCCACUGAAAUUAUUUAAAUGGCCGCAGUAUUUUAACUGUGCAAAGGUAGCAUAAUCAUUAGUCUUUUAAUUGAAGGCUGGCAUGAACGGUUGGACGAGGUAUAAUCUGUUUCAUAUAAAUUUAUAAUAGAAUUUUAUAUUUUAGUCAAAAAGCUAAAAUUUUAUUAAAAGACGAGAAGACCCUAUAAAUCUUUAUACUUUAUAUUAUUUAGAUUUUUUAGAUUUAUUUUAUUUUUAUAAUUUGAAGUAUUUUGUUGGGGUGAUAUUAAAAUUUAAUGAACUUUUAAUUAUUUUAAAUCAUUAAUUUAUGAAUUAUUGAUCCAUUAAUAUUGAUUAUAAGAUUAAGUUACUUUAGGGAUAACAGCGUAAUUUUUUUGGAGAGUUCAUAUCGAUAAAAAAGUUUGCGACCUCGAUGUUGGAUUAAGAUAUAUUUUUAGGUGUAGUCGCUUAAAU
rnacentral:rRNA from 1 species